AGACUCCGUGACUCUCUUUGGAGCUACAAUAAAAACAUUGACAAUUCUAAUGGAAAAAUUACACACCCCAAGUACAAAAACUCGUAAUAUCAAGAUACGAAAAGAAAUCUGCAUGGGUCACAUAGAGUAGGUGCUUUAUCCAACCAAGGCAGACUGCUUUGUUUCGGAAAAUAAAUUCGUUCUAAAAUGUCAGUGUAGGCUCCUUUAUUAAGUUGCUUUAUAAAAAAGAGCCACCAUCAAUGAAGCAAAGUCUAUCUUUAUGAUAAUUUGCUUUUGUAGAAAUGAAUCCUUAACUCUUCAAUGACAUGGAAUAUGAGAGAGCAAACGAUUGAAAAAUAUUCUAAUCACGACACUGGUACCAAUAAGCACAACGUACAAAUAAAAUUUACUAUUUGAUUUAUAGGAAAUUUACUAUACUGUUUUUAAGUAGCAAACUAUGAGCUCGACUAAACAAUGUUUCAAGGGUAGAUCAUUGCUAUUAAUGGUUUGGGCUGCUUUGUCUAAAUCUAAUCCAACUACAUCAGACAAAACUGUCACCACCUAUUAGAAACGCUAGACGCCAUUUAGGAGCGAAAAUUUAUUUCUUUGAACUUUUUGAGAUUGUUAAAAACCAUUUUCUUUAUUGCAUCAACAUGUGUCUACAGUAAGUCUUAAUCUAUCACCUGCUGGUUUGUAGUGUGUAGUUGAACAACUGAAACGCAUCUGUUUGGGUAUGGAACUAAAAUUUAGAUUGUGGCUACACUAUAUUUGAUCUUGGGCUCCAUUUGGAUGUAAUAAUUCUAAGAUUGUAGCAAUUUUUCAUUUAAACAAAAAUACUUUUGUCAAAGGGUUGGUCGGGGAGACAGAAAACUGAAUGCUACAAAUUUGAGCAACCAGGCUGAUAUAUACGUUCAGCUUGGUGUAAUUUGUUCCAAUGUGUGUAUUGAAUAGUGUACAGUUUUUGAAGACUGGUUAAAUCCAACAUCCAUAAAAUCCAUCAUUCACAGUAGUUGCAUUACUGACAAUGACCCUUGCACUUUUAACCGACAACAGAAAAACAGCAAAAAACGUCGUCAAAAUCUUAACGACUCCUUCUUAGCACUCUUAAGUGAAAACAUAUAUAUUUAAAGUCAUGCAAAAGUCCUAUUGGAAGGACGCCAUUGAUAUGGUGAGUUUCUUGUCUACAGUUACAAUGCAAUAUAAUAGUUACAAUAGAUAAUGUGAGUGUUAUCAGUUUGCUGCAAUUAGAAGUAAAUAUUUUGAUUGAAAUUGAAAUAAAAUACUUUGUACUUUUAAUAGAAACUGAACUCUCGUCACAAGGAAAUUAUUGUUCAAAGUAUUGCAUUAAAUGUUUUGCCAUUUUAUAUUCUGUCUUACUCUCUACUCCAAAACAUUAAGCCUCAUAUCAUUUGAUGACUCUUUUCAGAAAUUCCCUUUCCGGACCUUCUAAUUGCUAGAUCGGUUUGAUAACUAAACACAAGCGAUUUAUUGUCGUCAAAAGGCGAACAGAAAUCCAAAUAGCAUGCUCCAGCUGUUUUCUGGAAGCUACAAGGACAAAGAGAUAUGUGGUACCUCGGAAGAAGAAUGCAUGAAUUGUUUUCAAGUAUGCUACCAUCAAUAACCAUGUCAGACCGCGCUGCAAAUCUCUCUAGUACUGAAAUACGGCUGCAGAAAUCUCUCACCUGUAACAAGACAUCACAAGCUGUUUUAUAAAGGUGUCCGCUAUGAAGAUCUGUCCGUCAAUGGAGAUUACACAGAGUGUUAUUACAACUGAGAAACACUUUUUGGCUAGCCAUAUCAUGUCAACGAAAAGAUAAUUCAGAGGUCUUGGCUAUUUUGUAUCAAACCCUCUUAAAUUAACUGCUUCUUUUGAUUGCAAACAGUAGUUAAGUUGUAACUAUCAUUUAAAGUAGGGUGUCACGUAAGCUUGAUUCUUUUCCUGCUUUUAAUUAGGCAAUGUACUGUAACAUUUUUAGUGUUUUGAACUGUUAUACGAUGAUUUAUAUACAUAAGGAAAUGACAACAAAUUGAAAAAAAAAUCAAGGAAACGAUGUCUCGGCUAUUGUACAUAAAAAUAGGAGCCUCAUUCAGGCGGGUGAAGGAACAUAACACUGUAAAAAGCGCAAAAAAGAUAUUGCCGCCAAUCCAUCCGAUAUGAUAACGUGAUUUGCUCUUUAAAACCAUAGGAAAUAACAGAUAAGAGUCACAAAGGUUCGACAGGAAGAAAGACGAGGAAUGGAUAACGGCUCAGUAAACUAAGUUGAUAGAGCCCCAAAACAGAAUAUACACGAACAUUUGAAAAAUCUACGAUAAUGUGAAAUGUGGGCUAUGGAACAUGAUCCGUAAUCCAACUUCCAAAAUAAUUUUACUACAUAAAUCCCAUAAAAAGUUGAGUGAAAAUGAAAAAGGAAGUUUAAUAAGAAAAACAAUCUAUUGGCUAUGAGCGAUCUAUUCUAUUCUGUCUUAAUUCUAUUGCCAAAUCAUCUAUUCUAUUGCCAAAGAGUUUAAAAAAAUAGCUAUAAGAAGAGAGUCAUGUUGAUGAUAGCGAAAACUUUGAACCAGAACUCUUUCUGUCAAAUCGACAGCCUCGACUUCUACAGAGGGGUGGGUAAACUGUAAACUCGUGGCUAUUAGGAAUAUAGCCAUUUCGUUCUUAGAAACUAAAAUUGUGUUAUGAAAAAAAUCAGUGAUCCGGGUCUUACAAAUCAAAUUUGGAUACUGAUGAUGGAUGACUUAUUAAUUGAUAAGAGAACAUUUGCUUAGUUAAAUAAGUGCGGGAACACGGACGAAAUGUGUUUGUCAAUAUUAUUGUAAGGCAGCAUGCUCAGCCACGUGCAGCUGUUCUGUUUUUCUCUUUGUUUGCAGUGUCUGAUGGAACGUAUUCAGAUAUCAAGAAGAAUGCAACGGUUAACAUAAAUACACGCGGAAAACAAAAUCCUAACAGAUCAACAAGGAUCCGGGAAAAGUAUGGUACGAGAAAGAAUCAAAAUAGGGCCAUACACCACGGAAUCAGAUGAACCUAUUCAUAAAUGUCAUGUCUUUAGAGAGAUAGCCAUAAAUUUAAGGAGCAUCCCGCAUACAGCCUUCUCAAGACUGACAAAAAUUUGGACAAUUCUGAAAAUUCCUUUUUCAAAACCCUCCUUAUGUUACAGAAAUAAAACUGGUCUUAAUUUUUUGGGGAUACGAUUAUGUAAUUUCAUCAAAGGAUGGAAAUCCGUUGAAAAAAACAAAUUUAAUGCGCUUCAUUCAACUGUGGGGCUUAGGUGUUACAACCAUCAAAUCGUCUUCUGUGAUUUUAGGCGAGAAAAAUGAAGAUUCCUUUUCACAAGCACCCUACCCUGAACACUGUCAACUGGCCAAACAGUUACAUGAUACACCAGCGAAGCGUUCUGCCGUAUGUGCUAUGUGGUGAUUCAAUAAAGAAUCUGAGAGGAUUAAAGCUUGAUUUUGAAAUAUUUUGCAGAACAGGCAGUCUCAUUUUUUGUGUUGCGUACCAACCGAUAUAACAUAUGCAAAUAGCAUAGAAAAAAUCCAUAAGAAAUGAACAAUGACAAUCGUUCAUCAAUCGGUUUGUUAUUAAAAACCAAUGUGCAAAGAAAACAAUUCUUUAUCAGGGGCGGUGAUUCACUUUUACCUCAAAAUAUUUUAUGCAAUAAAGAGUUUUGGAAGGACUUACGCAAACAGAGCAAGACCUUCUCUUGACAAAUCUCAGAAAUUGUAUAAAAAGACAAAUGUAUUAAAGGAAAAGAGAUUAAAUGAUACGUAAAAUUAUAUUAGAAAGAAGGUGUUUAAAAAAGAUCAAUAACAAUUUCACACGAUUUAAAGGCAGUCUGCCCCCUAUUGUGGUCAACUUUACUUUCACGGGAGUAAAAUUCAUGCACCGUUGAGCUUGAUCGAUAAUUAAACGAUUUAAACCAAUCAAAGACAACUUUGAUUCCAGAGCUUUUGAAUCAAAUGGCUGUGUUUCCAUUGCAGUGAAGCUGAGGCUAGAAAAAUUUGGCUCCCUGUCUGGUUUCUGCGACAGAUAUGUCAACAGCGAAAAAAAUGCUUCCACUAUCAUCAUUCAAUUCCAGUAAUUAAAACUUCUUGCCAUAGCUUUUUGCUCACAGUUUCAAAUGUCGUCCGCUACCGCAGCUAGGCCAGCCAAAGCAAGCAUCGUAAUCCGUUAUCCAUUAAGGCGGGAAGACCUAUUGUUCAUAUUAGCCAACCAUUGAGGGGACAGACUGCCUUUAAACCACACUAUUACAUAUUCUUGAAUAGUUUUUGAAAUCAUACCUCGCAUGCUGGAAGCUUGACUUGAAAUGCUCGCAAAGAUAAACAUAUCUGGCUUGUAACUGCGAUGGAAAAACCUAUAAAGUGAAAAAAUUAGAAUAUAGGCAAAAUAUAUUUAAGAGAGGAUACUGUGAUGACAGACUCAAAGACACGUGUAGUAAUCAUAUUGCAGUGACAAGCGUGUGAUAAUUAGACGAUGGAUUGCUAUGAUAUUCCGAUAUGCUGGGCUGCUAAAUAAUAUUUUAACCGUUUGGCAAAAUCUCCACAGCCCAGCAUUAAUUCGAAAAAAAACGCGAAUGUCGUAAUUACAUCAAUCACAAUAAUCUAAACAAACUGUUGUCAUUGCUUUAUAAAAUCAUAGUCUAAAAGAAAAUAUCUUUCUUAUGACGAUUAACUCUUCCUUAUAUUUUUCUAUAUUAAUCACAAUAUUAAAUUAUUUUUAUACUGUUCGAAUGAGCUGUAACCCUCCAGCUAUUGAUUGAUUAGAGAAAUUUGAAGUAGCUUGCUACCGAAAUUUUUAAAACUCAAAGCAAUCUCAAUCCUAAUUUCAUGAAACAAA